ACGAUCUUACUCGUGAUUUAUGGACGUCGGCAAAAAAUGACAAUAGCUCAACUGUGUCGAACGAGGAGGACGAAUUCGUGGCGGCGUGUUGAGCGGAAGGACAGAGCUGUCCCAGAUGAAACACAGGCCACAAACCCCUCACCACGUUGUUACCGUGGCCGCAGUGACACGGCCUGGUCACCGAGCGCAAGCAGACGCAAGCCGCUCCCCACUCCACAGAGGAGCAGCCUGGCGUUUGCGGACGACGCCGGUUUAUAUUUGGCCAGCGGCUGGAGGCGGAGCCCAAAUGUGUUGGACAUCACAACCCCGAGAACGAAAGAGGUUUGAAACACUUCCAGGACCUGCUGCCAUAGUGACAAAACCAUUGAGGCGUAUGUGGUGCCGGAGGGACUUUUCAUCGGGGUCACACUGACUGAUUUGCUGAAAUGAUGACUACAGGUGUACUGUGAUGGUGUGUCUGAGAGAUGCAGCUGGAGCUGAGAGAUUGUUCACGUUGUUCAAUUGAGCCAACAAAAUUGAGAAAAACUGAUUAAAUAUGACCUAAUAUUACUUUGCAUUUUACGCACAGAUUUCAACACAUAGAUUUUCAACAUUUCAAACAGUAUCAUAAUUACAUCUGUGAUCAAACUCUGGUAGAAUUGAUUAAAAAUCACACGUAAUGAAAAUGAAAGAAAGCUCUGGUUUCUUUUU